AAGAAGGUUGAGGCGGUUCAGGUUUGUCUCUAUCUUCCUCCCCCUCUCUUUCCCCCCUUGUCUCAUGGAUGAGGUCGCUGGUGCAUGCAAGGAGUGGGUCGAACACGAAUUGUAGCAAGAGCAAGGAGCUGGACGUGGUUCAUGGUUUGCCUUUAGUUCCUCUCUCUCUAGAUCUCUAGACGUGGGUCUUUUUGUCCAUAUACUGAACCAUGAAGUUGUAAGUUCAUGUUCUUUAUAUUUGUACAGCUAUUUAACUGCAUUAGUGAAUGUUCUGGGUCUGAUACAACAGCUAAGCUUAGGUGAUUCCCCAUGUUCUAUGUGGAUCGCAUAGAAAAUAGAAAUCCUAAUUUCUGAAAAUAGACUGAAUCAUGUAUAUAUUUGCAGGGCAAGACAAGAACAUUAGUUGGAUCCAGAGUAUUGAGAUUGCAGAGGACUCAACAAAGGAUCUGCACUUAUUCUAUAAAUUCAGUACCAGGUUAGUGCCUCUGUUUAGUGAUUAUGUAGAACUACCUUUUGAACUUGCAGAAACUGAAUGCAUAUAAGAAUCGAGGACCUUUACAGUGGAUGCAUGAUGAUGAUCAUCCACCGAGCAGCACAUCAUCUUGGAAAAGCAGAUGCGAAUUUCUGCUAGGUUUGCUUCUCCGGUUGUCCCUCCCAUCAACUCUCUCAGUUCCCAAACCAUUAACCCCGUCCUGGUUGUUCCUAUAUUUUCUUUUUGUUUUGUUUUUACCAAUGCACUUUUCUUGGCAUGUUUUAGUGUGUUCCUUCCUACGGCCAGCUCGACCAUUUGCUCCGCAGGGAGUUUUUUAGCUCAGAAGGAGCAAAUAAUUUGAGAAUGCAUUGGUCUUUUCUGCAAUCUGUUAUAUAGGGGGAUCUUUCAUGUUUUUCUGCAGUUCUUUCUUCUCUUUGGCAAUUCAUUUGGAUUGUGUCUCUCUCAAACUUGGGCAUAUUAGUUGUAUGCUUGACUUUUUUUAGUAGCAGGGAGUAACUAAGUAGUUCACAAGCCAAGCAUUUGUAAACUUUGAUCAUUUAUUUGUAGAGAGUAUAUUUCUUUUUUUGUUCACCGUUUAGAUAUACAUUUUUUGCAUGUGUAGAGAGUAUACAUUAUUUGUAGAGCUGAAUUGACUCUCUUCACAAGAUUCACUUUGAUACAGCCAUUUUCUUAAUGACAAUCUUCAUGUGAAGGUUUCAAGUACUACAUAUAGGAGGAGGCACGAGUGGCUGCAAUCUUGCUACGAAAUGACACUUACGGAGCUUCUUUACCUAACAUGGCCAAGAAGUCCGCAAAUUCCAUAGAGCGUAGAGUAUAGCCGGUUGGAUACAUAUCUGCAGAGUGCAUGUAGUGUGUGUGUCAGAUAUACAGUGGGAAAACACCACAAUGCAAGUGUCAGAUCCUGUUCUUGAUGCAAUUUUGUGACUUUAUUCUGGACUGUUAAGCAAUUGGUUGAUGUUAAGCUGAAACUCGGAUCAGUCUUGUGGCUCUUCU
rnacentral:lncRNA from 1 species